rnacentral:rRNA from 1 species
AGAGUUUGAUCCUGGCUCAGGACGAACGCUGGCGGCGUGCCUAAUACAUGCAAGUCGAGCGGACAGAAGGGAGCUUGCUCCCGGAUGUUAGCGGCGGACGGGUGAGUAACACGUGGGUAACCUGCCUGUAAGACUGGGAUAACUCCGAAACCGGAGCUAAUACCGGAUAGUUCCUUGAACCGCAUGGUUCAAGGAUGAAAGACGGUUUCGGCUGUCACUUACAGAUGGACCCGCGGCGCAUUAGCUGGUGAGGUAACGGCUCACCAAGGCGACGAUGCGUAGCCGACCUGAGAGGGUGAUCGGCCACACUGGGACUGAGACACGGCCCAGACUCCUACGGGAGGCAGCAGUAGGGAAUCUUCCGCAAUGGACGAAAGUCUGACGGAGCAACGCCGCGUGAGUGAUGAAGGUUUUCGGAUCGUAAAGCUCUGUUGUUAGGGAAGAACAAGUGCAAGAGUAACUGCUUGCACCUUGACGGUACCUAACCAGAAAGCCACGGCUAACUACGUGCCAGCAGCCGCGGUAAUACGUAGGUGGCAAGCGUUGUCCGGAAUUAUUGGGCGUAAAGGGCUCGCAGGCGGUUUCUUAAGUCUGAUGUGAAAGCCCCCGGCUCAACCGGGGAGGGUCAUUGGAAGCUGGGAAACUUGAGUGCAGAGGAGAGUGGAAUUCCACGUGUAGCGGUGAAAUGCGUAGAGAUGUGGAGGAACACCAGUGGCGAAGGCGACUCUCUGGUCUGUAACUGACGCUGAGGAGCGAAAGCGUGGGGAAACAGGAUUAGAUACCCUGGUAGUCCACGCCGUAAACGAUGAGUGCUAAGUGUUAGGGGGUUUCCGCCCCUUAGUGCUGCAGCUAACGCAUUAAGCACUCCGCCUGGGGAGUACGGUCGCAAGACUGAAACUCAAAGGAAUUGACGGGGGCCCGCACAGGUGGAGCAUGUGGUUUAAUUCGAAGCAACGCGAAGAACCUUACCAGGUGACAUCCUCUGACAACCCUGAGAUAGGGCUUUCCCUUCGGGGACAGAGUGACAGGUGGUGCAUGGUUGUCGUCAGCUCGUGUCGUGAGAUGUUGGGUUUCCCGCAACGAGCGCAACCCUUGAUCUUAGUUGCCAGCAUUUAGUUGGGCACUCUAAGACUGCCGGUGACAAACCCGAAGAAGGUGGGGAUGACGUCAAAUCAUCAUGCUUAUGACCUGGGCUACACACGUGCUACAAUGGACAGAACAAAGGGCUGCGAGACCGCAAGGUUUAGCCAACCCCACAAAUCUGUUCUCAGUUCGGAUCGCAGUCUGCAACUCGACUGCGUGAAGCUGGAAUCGCUAGUAAUCGAUCAGCAUGCCGCGGUGAAUACGUUCCCGGGCCUUGUACACACCGCCCGUCACACCACGAGAGUUUGUAACACCCGAAGUCGGUGAAACCUUUUGGAGCCAGCCGCCUAAGGUGGGAAAUGAUUGGGGUGAAGUCGUAACAAGGUAGCCGU